rfam:Dialister invisus CAG:218 genomic scaffold, scf43
AUGUAUCUUCAGGGCAGGGUGUGAUUCCCGACCGGUGGUAAAGGUUUUCCUGAGCCCACGAGCCGUAUGGCUGAUUUGGUGUGAUUCCAAAGCCGACAGUACAGUCUGGAUGGGAGAAGAUUGUU